rnacentral:tRNA from 1 species
AGUUUAUGAACUUGUAAAAGUAUAUAUUUUGAAAAUAUAAGAAAGAGUGAAUUCUCUAUAGACUU